AACGAACGCUGGCGGCAUGCCUAACACAUGCAAGUCGAACGAAACCAAGGCUUCGGCCUGAAGUUUAGUGGCGCACGGGUGCGUAACGCGUGGGAAUCUGCCCUUGGGUUCGGAAUAACUCAGAGAAAUUUGAGCUAAUACCGGAUGAUGACGUAAGUCCAAAGAUUUAUCGCCCAAGGAUGAGCCCGCGUAAGAUUAGCUUGUUGGUGAGGUAAAGGCUCACCAAGGCGACGAUCUUUAGCUGGUCUGAGAGGAUGAUCAGCCACACUGGGACUGAGACACGGCCCAGACUCCUACGGAGGCAGCAGUGGGGAAUAUUGGACAAUGGGCGAAAGCCUGAUCCAGCAAUGCCGCGUGAGUGAUGAAGGCCUUAGGGUUGUAAAGCUCUUUUACCAGGGAUGAUAAUGACAGUACCUGGAGAAUAAGCUCCGGCUAACUCCGUGCCAGCAGCCGCGGUAAU
rnacentral:rRNA from 1 species